rnacentral:rRNA from 1 species
GAUGAACGCUGGCGGCGUGCUUAACACAUGCAAGUCGAACGGUGAAGCAGGAGCUUGCUCCUGUGGAUCAGUGGCGAACGGGUGAGUAACACGUGAGCAAUCUGCCCUGGACUCUGGGAUAAGCGUUGGAAACGACGUCUAAUACCGGAUACGAGGCGUGGGGGCAUCCCCAACGCCUGGAAAGAACUUCGGUCCAGGAUGAGCUCGCGGCCUAUCAGGUAGUUGGUGAGGUAACGGCUCACCAAGCCUACGACGGGUAGCCGGCCUGAGAGGGUGACCGGCCACACUGGGACUGAGACACGGCCCAGACUCCUACGGGAGGCAGCAGUGGGGAAUAUUGCACAAUGGGCGCAAGCCUGAUGCAGCAACGCCGCGUGAGGGACGACGGCCUUCGGGUUGUAAAGCUCUUUCGGCGGGGACGAUAAUGACGGUACCCGCAGAAGAAGCCCCGGCUAACUUCGUGCCAGCCGCCGCAGUAAGAC